rnacentral:rRNA from 1 species
GACGAACGCUGGCGGCGUGCCUAAUACAUGCAAGUUGAGCGAUGAAGAUUGGUGCUUGCACCAAUUUGAAGAGCAGCGAACGGGUGAGUAACGCGUGGGGAAUCUGCCUUUGAGCGGGGGACAACAUUUGGAAACGAAUGCUAAUACCGCAUAAUAACUUUAAACAUAAGUUUUAAGUUUGAAAGAUGCAAUUGCAUCACUCAAAGAUGAUCCCGCGUUGUAUUAGCUAGUUGGUGAGGUAAAGGCUCACCAAGGCGAUGAUACAUAGCCGACCUGAGAGGGUGGUCGGCCACAUUGGGACUGAGACACGGCCCAAACUCCUACGGGAGGCAGCAGUAGGGAAUCUUCGGCAAUGGACGAAAGUCUGACCGAGCAACGCCGCGUGAGUGAAGAAGGUUUUCGGAUCGUAAAACUCUGUUGGUAGAGAAGAACGUUGGUGAGAGUGGAAAGCUCAUCAAGUGACGGUAACUACCCAGAAAGGGACGGCUAACUACGUG